rnacentral:rRNA from 1 species
UACGGAGGGUGCGAGCGUUGUCCGGAAUCACUGGGCGUAAAGGGCGCGUAGGCGGCGCGAGUAGUCAACGGUGAAAGCCCGGGGCUCAACCCCGGGUCGGCCGUCGAUACUCUCGUGCUUGAGCACUGUAGAGGCAGGUGGAAUUCCGGGUGUAGCGGUGGAAUGCGUAGAGAUCCGGAAGAACACCGGUGGCGAAGGCGGCCUGCUGGGCAGUAGCUGACGCUGAGGCGCGACAGCGUGGGGGAGCAAACAGG